GAAGGUGUAGCUCAGUGGUAGAGCGUGUGCUUAGCAUGCAUGAGGUCCUGGGUUCAAUCCCCACUACCUCCA
rnacentral:tRNA from 1 species